AAAAAAGAAAUCUGGCUCCUUUGGGGUCCGAGUUGUAAUUUGUAGAGGGUGCUUUGGCGUUGGUUGUGGUCUAAGUUCCUUGGAACAGGACGUCACAGAGGGUGAGAAUCCCGUACGUGGCCGCCAGCCUUCGCCGUGUAAAGCCCCUUCGAUGAGUCGAGUUGUUUGGGAAUGCAGCUCUAAAUGGGAGGUAAAUAUCUUCUAAAGCUAAAUAUUUGCCAGAGACCGAUAGCGCACAAGUAGAGUGAUCGAAAGUUGAAAGCACUUUGGAAAGAGAGUCAAAUAGCACGUGAAAUUGUUGAAAAGGAAGCGCUUGCAGCUAGACGUGCCUUGGGUUGAUCAGCCGGACUUUUGUCCGGUGCACUCUUCCUUUGGCAGGCCAGCAUCAGUUUGGGCGGCUGGAUAAAGGUCUGUUAAACGUGACUUCCUUCGGGGAGAGGUUAUAGGGCAGACGACUUGCAGCCAGCCUGAACUGAGGUCCGCGCAUCUGCUACGAUGCUGGCAUAAUAGCUGUAAGCGGCGGGUCUUGAAACACGGACCAAGGAGUCUAACAUCUAUGCGAGUGUUUGGGUGUCAAGCCCGAGCGCGUAAUGAAAGUAAACGGAGGUGGGAACCUUUAAGGUGCACCAUCGACCGAUCCUGAUGUCUUCGGUUGGAUUUGAGUAAGAGCAUAGCUGUUGGGACCCGAAAGAUGGUGAACUAUGCCUGAAUAGGGUGAAGCCAGAGCAAACUCUGGUGGAGGCUCGCAGCGGUUCUGACGUGCAAAUCGAUCGUCCCCGA
rnacentral:rRNA from 1 species